ACCUACAUUGCUUUAAGUGGGAAACUUUUGGCGUCAGUACUCAGACGCGAAGGGCAUGAGAUGUUUAUCGCUAUGAAAUCACGUUCAAGAAGUCUCAUUCAGCGCACAUCGCGAUAUUUGCCAUCAGUUUACAUGUGCCACAGGUUGGCUGAAAAGACAUGAAGGAAGCAGUCAGCCCAGUCGUGUUUGUGGAGAGGUAUUCCUUCAGAAAUGGAGAAGACAGAAAGCUGCGGAGGCACACAUUUGCAGCAGAUUGUUUGCAGAUAACGCUGUACUUCUCCAUCAUGCACAAGGACUCACCUCUUUAACUCUUUAUCCCCCACACACACAGAAAUGGUCCCUGGAUCAGUGUUUAGACUUUGCAGUGGUUUGAUUUUUGCAGAAAAUGCAACUUUGUUUUAGUUAUAAGCUUAUAAUGAAUACAUUUUGACCUUCCAGCAGCCCAUAUACUGUAUACAGAACCAGUGAUGAAAACAAUAGUUGAAAAUAGUAUUUUCGUAUUGAUAAAGCAUUGUGUUCUCUUUUUCAAGCUUCAUACAGUAAACU